GUGGAACUAGUUGGAAAACAUACGUGGCUGUGGUAGCGAGUAUGGGUUAAAAUAUGGUCGUAGAGUCGGAGAAC